GUGUCAUAUGAAGGAGAGAAGUUCCACCUUCCUGAUAAAAACAGAAGAAGCCCUUGGGUCCUUGGGUUUAUUAACACAUGGACAGUUACGGUAUUGCCAACUGCUCUGUGGCAUCUAACCACUGUUGUGC